rnacentral:rRNA from 1 species
GAUGAACGCUGGCGGCGUGCCUAAUACAUGCAAGUCGAGCGAACAGACGAGGAGCUUGCUCCUCUGACGUUAGCGGCGGACGGGUGAGUAACACGUGGAUAACCUACCUAUAAGACUGGGAUAACUUCGGGAAACCGGAGCUAAUACCGGAUAAUAUAUUGAACCGCAUGGUUCAAUAGUGAAAGACGGUUUUGCUGUCACUUAUAGAUGGAUCCGCGCCGCAUUAGCUAGUUGGUAAGGUAACGGCUUACCAAGGCAACGAUGCGUAGCCGACCUGAGAGGGUGAUCGGCCACACUGGAACUGAGACACGGUCCAGACUCCUACGGGAGGCGGCAGUAGGGAAUCUUCCGAAAUGGGCGAAAGCCUGACGGAGCAACGCCGCGUGGGUGAUGAAGGUCUUCGGAUCGUAAAACUCUGUUAUUAGGGAAGAACAAAUGUGUAAGUAACUAUGCACGUCUUGACGGUACCUAAUCAGAAAGCCACGGCUAACUACGUG